UACGUAGGGGGCUAGCGUUGCUCGGAAUGACUGGGCGUAAAGGGCGCGUAGGCGGAUGGCACAGUCAGAUGUGAAAUUCCCGGGCUUAACCUGGGGGCUGCAUUUGAUACGUGUGAUCUAGAGUGAGGAAGAGGGUCGUGGAAUUCCCAGUGUAGAGGUGAAAUUCGUAGAUAUUGGGAAGAACACCGGUGGCGAAGGCGGCGACCUGGUCCUUGACUGACGCUGAGGCGCGAAAGCGUGGGGAGCAAACAGG
rnacentral:rRNA from 1 species